UUGCCAAAUGUCAGAAAAACUCACCUGGUUCACUGAUGUGCUUUAGGGAAGGAAACUGCCACCCUUACAUGAUCUGGCCUACAUGUGACUGCAGACCCACAGCAAUAUGAUUGACUUUGAACUGUCCCCUGGGCAAUUAGGGAUGGACAAUAAACACUGCGUAGCUAGGGAUGUCCUCCUCCCAUUAACAAAUAAAUAAAAUUGGAUUCUACAUCUUCCGAUCCAAGAUCGUUUCUUGCUCUCAUACUAAUUUCUUUGCUUACAGUCACUUUCCCUCCUGCCUGUCUUUUUGGAAUGUCGUAUAGCCCUGCGCACUUAGCUCCAGUGUUGAUCUCCUUGUAACCAUGUCUUUGUAAUAGCUAUAAAAUCAUGCCCGUCAACCUAGAAAUGUGCUAUUAAUUUGUUGAUUUUGUUCUGAAUACAAUGAGCACGCAAGCAAAGAGCCAUGAAUUUCGCUUUAUCACUUGAUUUCACCUCUUGACACUAUUUACAGCUGUUUUCUGUUUGUACAUGCUGUCUUUUCCAGUACCACGCUGAGUAUUGUUAUCCCGAUAGUUCUUUCGUAUCAGUCCGUGUGUAUUCCUGGGCGAAUGUGCUCGUGUGGUCUCAGGAGUUGCGGAGGUCACAGCUCUGGGACAGCCGUUUCAUCGCCCUAUGCUGCAGGAAAAAAGCAAUGAAAGUGCCGUUAAUUUUUUGCACGGCGAGCUGCUGCAUACUAACCGGUCUCACACCAUUACCAUCACCUUGCCCUUGUGAAGGCAGAUAUGGAUAAGGUUCUAAAAGCUGAUAGAAGAUUGAAACCACUCUAAUCCUGUGACGAUGAACCUGCCCCGGAAGAGAGAGCCCAGAGAAUUGCCAAAGCUGUCCGCAAACAGUCAACAGAAGUGAAGGAAAAUUGGGAACAACUGAAAAUCCGUGCGAGCAACUGGCAGAAACAGGUGGAAAAGGCGUUGGAGAAACUUCAAGAACUGCACAAAGUUCUGGAUGAUCUUGAGGCUCAUGUGAUAACAGCUGAGGGGGUCCACACUGGCAACCUGUGAGUGACCUGCUUAUUGACUCAUUGCAGGAUCACAUUGAUAAAACCACACAAAAUUGGUCAUCCAGCAAGAAAUGGAUAUUUCUCACAUUUGUUGGCUGGUGAGGACUAUCUGCAAAAUCUGAGAUUGGGUUUUGAAAGACUGCAGCCUUUGUUUUGGAGAGAUAAUGGGAACUGCAGAUGCUGGAGAAUGCGAGAUAACAACGUGUGGAGCUGGAUGAAGACAGCAGGCCAAGCAGCAUCUUAGGAGCACAAAAGCUGACGUUUCGGGCCGAGAACCUUCUUCAGAAAAUGGGGAGGGGGUGCGGGUUCUGAAAUAAAUAGGGAGAGAGGGAGAGGCGGAUGGAAGAUGGAUGGAGGAGAAGAUCGGUGGAGAGGAGAGUAUGGGUACGGAGGCAGGGAGGGGAUAGGUCAGUCUGGGGAGGCCGGACAGGUCAAGGGAGCGGGAUGAGGGGAAAUAGGGGUGCGGCAUGAGGUGGGAGGGGGGAUGGGUGAGAGGAAGAAUAGGUUAGGGAGGCGGGGACGAGCUGGGCUGGUUUUGGGAUGCAGUGGCAGGACAGGAGAUUUGGAAGCUUGUGAAAUCCACAUUGAUACCAUUGGGCUGCAGGGUUCCCAAGCAGAAUAUGAGUUGCUGUUCCUGCAACCUUCGGGUGGCGUCAUUAUGGCACUGCAGGAGGCCCAGGUUGGACAUGUCCUCUCGGGAAUGGGAGGGGGAGUUGAAAUGGUUCGUGACUGGGAAGUGCAGUUGUUUACUGCAAACUGAGCGUAGGUGUUCUGAAAAGCGGUCCCCAAGCCUCUUUAUCGUUUCCCCAAUGCAGAAGAAGCCACAACGGGGACAGCGGAUGUUUUGGAUAUUUCUUAAGCAUUGAUUUUCAUUCAGAGUUGGUUGGAUUUUGCUGAAGCAAGAGACAUAACUCACUAUGACGUAGACAAUGUCAGAGUUAAUGUUUCGCGUCCUGUGACCCUUCCUCAGAUCUCACUCUUGACUGAUGCUGCCAGACCUGCUGAGCUUUUCCAGCAACUUCUGCUUUUGUUGCUGAUUUACAGUGCCCACAGUUCUUUUGUUUUUUACGACACAGACAAAACUUGAUCUCUGCAGGAAGCAUGAUGCUGCAUUCUCCAAUUUCCCUGCCUUUUUGUAAUAUAAUAUUGUCUUUUUAGGACAGAAGUGGCUUUUUUUUGUUUGUUUUAACUUCCGCACAUACUUUCUAUGCAGGUUAAAAGUCUACACCUUUUCAGUUCUCUGCUGCAUAAUGAAGACUUGGAACAAUUUUUUUUAUAAAGUAGAAAAUCAAUGUGGUUUGUUUUCCAAAAUGUGAUGUGUAAGUGCAACACUUGACAGUGUGUUCAUCAAACUAUUGUUUCCUUUGAUCUUUGUGUUGCAGAAAUUUCUAGAAUCAUUUCAUAUAUAUUUUUGUUGAUAUAUUUUAGCAGCUUUCCUGGAGCAAGUCUGUUUUCCUUCGGAUGAGACAACUUUCAGACAUACUCCCUUUAUUAUGAGAUUUAAUUGCGGUAAAAUGAGGAGGAUUUUUAUUCACUGAGACACACAUGACUCUAUGUUUAAAGCAUUGGAAAAUGCGUUCUGUUCGGACUGUCAUGUUAUCUGGUGUUUGGACCAGGCUUUCCGAUUAAAUGCAAGUGAUUAAGGAUGCUCAUGAUGCCACAUGUUAUUACAAGAGGAAAUGAACAUCCAAGUAAGGAUUUUAUGCCACAUUUAUACAUUGCAUGGACCAUGCAGCAUGGAUGCAGUGACUGAGUGAAAUGGCGUGCAGUGACUGAGUGAAAUGGCAUGCAGUGGCUGUGGGAAAUGGGAUGCAGUGACGGAGUGAAAUGGGAUGCAGUGACGGAGUGAAAUGGGAUGCAGUGACGGAGGGAACAGGGAUGCAGUGACGGAGGGAACAGGGAUGCAGUGACCGAAGGGGUUUGUGAUGCCAUGACUGAGACAAAUGGGAUGCACUGACAGAGGGAAAUGGGAUACAGUGCCUCAGUGAAAUGCUCACAGCGAAUUGCCCCCUCCGUCCUGACCUGCUCACCGCGACUUGCCCCCUCACUCCUGACCCGCUCACACUGACUCGCCCCUGCAGUCCUGACCUGCUCACAGCGACUUCUCUCUGCAGUCCUGACCCGCUCACAGCGACUCGCCCCUUCAGUCCUGUCACAAUCACAGGGACUUGCCCUCUCCGUCCUUACCCGCUCACAGCAACUUGUCCCCUCAGUCCUCACCCACUCACAGCGACUUGCCGCCUCAGUCUUGACCCGCUCACAGCGACCUACCCCCUCACAGCAACCUACCCCUCCGUGCUGACCCGCUCACAGUGACUUGCCCCUGCAGUCCUGACCCCCCCUCACAGUGACCUGCCCCCUCACUCCUGACCCGCUCUGCAUUGAGGAAACCAAGCAGGGGCUUGGGGACCGUUUUGCAGAACACCUCCGCUCGGUUCGCAACAAACAACUGCACCUCCCAGUUGCGAACCAUUUUAACUCCCCCUCCCAUUCCUUAGACGACAUGUCCAUCAUGGGCCUCCUGCAGUGCCACAAUAAUGCCACCUGAAGGUUGCAAGGACAGCAACUCCUCAUCCGCUUGGGAACCCUGCAACCCAAUGGUACCAAUGUGGACUUCACAAGCUUCAAAAUCUCCCCCUCCCCAACUGCAUCCCAAAACCAGCCCAGCCUGUCUCCGCCUCCCUAACCUGUUGUUCCUCUCACCCAUCCCUUCCUCCCACCUCAAGCCACACCUCCAUUUCCUACCUCCCACCUCAUCCUGCCUCCUUGACCUGGACUGACCUAUCACCUCCCUCCCUCCUCACCUGUACUCUCCUCUCUACCUAUCUUGUUUUCUCUCCAUCUUCGGUCCACAUCCCCCCCCCCUCCCUAUUUAUUCCAGUUCCCUCUCCCAUCCCCCUCUCUGAUGAAGGGUCUAGGCCUGAAAUGUCAGCUUUUGUGCUCCUAUGAUGCUGCUUGGCCUGCUGUGUUCAUCCAGCUCCACACUUUGUUAUCUUGGAUUCUCCAGCAUCUGCAGUUCCCAUUAUCAGUGGCCUUUUCCUCUUUGUCAAAGUUUGUGCAAAAGCAACACGAUAUGGGGCGGCACGGUGGCUCAGUGGUUAGCACUGCAGCUUCACAGCACUGGGGACCCAGGUUCAAUUCCAGCCUCAGGCAACUGUCUGUGUGGAAUUUGCACCUUGUCCCUGUGUCUGCGUGGGUUUCCUCCAGGUGCUCCGGUCUCCUCCCACAGUCCGAAGAGGUGCAUGCUAGGUGGAUUGGCCAUGCUAAAUUGCCCAUAGUGUUCAGGGGCGUGGGUCUGGGUGGGAUGCUCCAACUUUUGGUGUGCACUUGUUGGGCCAAAGGGCCUGUUUCCACACUGUAGGGAAUCUAAACAAUCCUGUUCCCACAUCUCCAUGUUAUAACCCUGCUGAUCACUGCACACAGAGAUGUUUGAUAACAAAAGGAUAACAAUAAUAUUCAAACCCAGUGCUGGAGAUGUAUUUUAAAUACACUGAGGCCAGUGUCGAUCUCCAAUUCAACUUUUAUUUACAAAUGAACUGUCUUCAACUUUAGCACUGCCUCAUUCAGAGAUAGUUGCCAGGGUGUCAGCAUCUCUGACCCUCACACUUCUUAUCUGUCAGCCAGGGCUCCCUGAUUUGGGCUGUUAAUAUGGAACAAUCAGGCAACUCAUAUUCUGUGAGGUUCAACUGGCCGACCUGGUCACAAACCAGUGCGGUGUGUUCAUUGAAAAUCAAACGUACUAGAAAGAUACCAUUCCAUACCAGUGUAAAGGAAGGCAUGAGGCUAAACUGGGGAGGGAAGGGAACUGCUUAUUGGGGGUGGCCCAGAGAGUUGAAGAAAAUCGAAUGGGAAGAAGACCAUUUGAGACUGAGGGAGAGAGAUGUAAUUGCCUGAAUGAGGCAUUGCAAUUGCGAAAUGGAUUUUUGUGUGUACACCAUGUUCAGUUUCCCCGAUCUUCAUCUGUACUCCUCUUUAAAUCAUUAGUAUCUGAAAUUUCUGUAUCAUUUCCAAAUGUUCUGUCUCUAAUGUUAUGCUGUUGGAAUUGGUUGAACUGCAGAGAUAUUAUUUAUUUGCACAAAUGUGUUCAGUGAAAUGAGUUGCAUGCUAUAUAUGUAUUAUUCUUCCUGAUUCUAUUGUACGCAUACAAAUUAAAGUUAGUUCCACUUUUAAACAACAAA